rnacentral:rRNA from 1 species
ACGGGAGGCAGCAGUAGGGAAUCUUCCGCAAUGGACGAAAGUCUGACGGAGCAACGCCGCGUGAGUGAUGAAGGUUUUCGGAUCGUAAAGCUCUGUUGUUAGGGAAGAACAAGUGCGAGAGUAACUGCUCGCACCUUGACGGUACCUAACCAGAAAGCCACGGCUAACUACGUGCCAGCAGCCGCGGUAAUACGUAGGUGGCAAGCGUUGUCCGGAAUUAUUGGGCGUAAAGGGCUCGCAGGCGGUUUCUUAAGUCUGAUGUGAAAGCCCCCGGCUCAACCGGGGAGGGUCAUUGGAAACUGGGAAACUUGAGUGCAGAAGAGGAGAGUGGAAUUCCACGUGUAGCGGUGAAAUGCGUAGAGAUGUGGAGGAACACCAGUGGCGAAGGCGACUCUCUGGUCUGUAACUGACGCUGAGGAGCGAAAGCGUGGGGAGCGAACAGGAUUAGAUACCCUGGUAGUCCACGCCGUAAACGAUGAGUGCUAAGUGUUAGGGGGUUUCCGCCCCUUAGUGCUGCAGCUAACGCAUUAAGCA